GGAGAGGUGUCCGAGAGGCCGAAGGAGCUCGCCUGCUAAGCGAGUAAGCGUUAACAGCGCUUCCAGGGUUCGAAUCCCUGCCUCUCCGCCA
rnacentral:tRNA from 1 species